rnacentral:rRNA from 1 species
AUUGAACGCUGGCGGCAGGCCUAACACAUGCAAGUCGAGCGGAUGAACGGAGCUUGCUCCUGGAUUCAGCGGCGGACGGGUGAGUAAUGCCUAGGAAUCUGCCUGGUAGUGGGGGAUAACGUCCGGAAACGGGCGCUAAUACCGCAUACGUCCUGAGGGAGAAAGUGGGGGAUCUUCGGACCUCACGCUAUCAGAUGAGCCUAGGUCGGAUUAGCUAGUUGGUGGGGUAAAGGCCUACCAAGGCGACGAUCCGUAACUGGUCUGAGAGGAUGAUCAGUCACACUGGAACUGAGACACGGUCCAGACUCCUACGGGAGGCAGCAGUGGGGAAUAUUGGACAAAGGGCGAAAGCCUGAUCCAGCCAUGCCGCGUGUGUGAAGAAGGUCUUCGGAUUGUAAAGCACUUUAAGUUGGGAGGAAGGGCAGUAAGUUAAUACCUUGCUGUUUUGACGUUACCAACAGAAUAAGCACCGGCUAACUUCGUG